rnacentral:rRNA from 1 species
UACGUAGGGUGCGAGCGUUGUCCGGAAUUACUGGGCGUAAAGAGCUCGUAGGUGGUUUGUCGCGUUGUCCGUGAAAACUCACAACUCAAUUGUGGGCGUGCGGGCGAUACGGGCAGACUGGAGUACUGCAGGGGAGACUGGAAUUCCUGGUGUAGCGGUGGAAUGCGCAGAUAUCAGGAGGAACACCGGUGGCGAAGGCAGGUCUCUGGGCCGAUACUGACGCUGAGGAGCGAAAGUGUGGGGAGCGAACAGG